rnacentral:rRNA from 1 species
AUGUGGUUUAAUUCGAAGCAACGCGAAGAACCUUACCAAGCCUUGACAUCCCGAUGAUCGGCUCAGAGAUGAGCUUUCUCUUCGGAGCAUCGGUGACAGGUGGUGCAUGGUUGUCGUCAGCUCGUGUCGUGAGAUGUUGGGUUAAGUCCCGCAACGAGCGCAACCCUUAUGGUCAGUUACUACGCAAGAGGACUCUGGCCAGACUGCCGUUGACAAAACGGAGGA